AACAAUACAAAUAAAAACAAAAAGAGAUAAAAUUAAGGAAAAACUUCAAAUAUCAUUCAUGUGGUUUUGCUUUUUUUUAUUUUAGUACCAUGUGGUUUAAAGUGUAUUAAUUAAGUACCCUAUGAUUUCAUUUUUUUUCUUUUUAUUAUACCCUCCACUAAUUUUUUUUAAAAUUAGUGGCAAAGUUAAAACUAAAAGGUACUAAAGUGAAUAUUCGAUAAACUGAAGUGGGUGUGUGAAGUUUUUUUUUUGCAUAUAAUUUAAAAAAAAUGUUAACGGAGCAGCUGACAAAAAGAAAAAAUGACACUACAUAGUAGUGAAUUAAUAUACUUUAAACCAUAAAAUACUAAAGUGAGAAAAUGCGAAACCUAAGGGGUGGUAUUUGAAGUUUAGAUUUUAAAUUUAUAAAUUUUAUAUUUAUAUUUUAAAUUAAAAUAUAAAAUUUUAUAUUUUUGUUAAAAUUUAAAAUUUUUUAAAUUUAAAUUAUUUAAAAUAAAAUUUAGUAGAAAAAGACUAUUUAUAAACAGUAAAAAAAUAAUUUAUCAAAUAUAACUAAGGGCAAUUUUAAAAUAGACUAUAUACUUUAUUAUCAAAAUUAUUAAAUUUUAUAGAUUGAAAUAAACAAAAUAAUAAUAUAAAUACUGAGUAUUAUAUUACUGCAUUAAAUCAAGCACACUAAUACAGCAUCAAUAGCAUUAAUAAUAAUUUCAUUUAGAAAUCAAAAUAUCUGGAGAUAUUAAAAUACUUUGUAAUAUUAAAUAAUUCGAAACAAACACGCUCUAGAAUUAAAAUA
rnacentral:lncRNA from 1 species